CAGGGGAGAGGUGUUGAUGGUGACAUGCGGGACUCCAAAUCCUGCGAACCGGGUUCGAGUCCCGGCUCCCCUGU
rnacentral:tRNA from 1 species